UACAGAGGGUGCAAGCGUUAUCCGGAAUCACUGGGUUUAAAGGGUGCGUAGGCGGCUUUAUAAGUCAGAAGUGAAAGAUUUGAGCUUAACUGAGAAAUUGCUUUUGAUACUGUAGAGCUAGAAUCAGGUUGAGGUCAGCGGAAUGUGGCAUGUAGCGGUGAAAUGCAUAGAUAUGCCAUAGAACACCAAUUGCGAAGGCAGCUGGCUGGGCUUUGAUUGACGCUGAGGGACGAAAGCGUGGGGAGCGAACAGG
rnacentral:rRNA from 1 species